rnacentral:rRNA from 1 species
UAAGGUGAAGAGCUGAAGCCGCAGCGAAAGCGAGUCUGAAUAGGGCGAAUGAGUACGUGGACGUAGACCCGAAACCGGGUGAUCUACCCCUGUCCAGGGUGAAGGUGCGGUAACACGCACUGGAGGCCCGAACCCACGCAUGUUGAAAAUGCGGGGAUGAGGUGGGGGUAGCGGAGAAAUUCCAAUCGAACCCGGAGAUAGCUGGUUCUCCCCGAAAUAGCUUUAGGGCUAGCCUCGGAAAGAAGAAUCGUGGAGGUAGAGCACUGAUUGGGUGCGGGGCCCGCAAGGGUUACCAAGCUCAGUCAAACUCCGAAUGCCAUAGAUUUAGUUCCGGGAGUCAGACAGUGAGUGCUAAGAUCCAUUGUCGAAAGGGAAACAGCCCAGACCAUCAGCUAAGGUCCCCAAGUGUGUGUUAAGUGGGAAAGGAUGUGGAGUUGCACAGACAACCAGGAUGUUGGCUUAGAAGCAGCCACCAUUGAAAGAGUGCGUAAUAGCUCACUGGUCGAGUGACUCUGCGCCGAAAAUGUAACGGGGCUAAACACACCACCGA